rnacentral:rRNA from 1 species
AUUGAACGCUGGCGGAAUGCUUUACACAUGCAAGUCGAGCAGCAGCGCGGGGGCAACCCUGGCGGCGAGCGGCGAACGGGUGAGUAACAUAUCGGAACGUACCCCGUCGUGGGGGAUAACACAGCGAAAGCUGUGCUAAUACCGCAUACGACCUGAGGGUGAAAGCGGGGGAUCGCAAGACCUCGCGCGAUGGGAGCGGCCGAUAUCGGAUUAGCUUGUUGGUGAGGUAAAGGCUCACCAAGGCGACGAUCCGUAGCUGGUCUGAGAGGACGGACAGCCACACGGGAACUGAGACACGGUCCAGACUCCUACGGGAGGCAGCAGUGGGGAAUUUUGGACAAUGGGGGCAACCCUGAUCCAGCCAUUCCGCGUGAGUGAAGAAGGCCUUCGGGUUGUAAAGCUCUUUCAGCAGGAACGAAACGGUGGCCACUAAUACUGGCUACUAAUGACGGUACCUGAAGAAGAAGCACCGGCUAACUACGUGCCAGCCGCCGCAGUAACAC